CCUCCACAGCGGAACCGGAACUGAAGCAUUGCCGUGGCAACCCGUUGGCAGGGGGAAAGCGCGGGAAUGGCGGCGGCUGCCGUCGUCGUCGCCGGGAGACCUUCGGUGAGGGGAUGAGUGAGCCAGACGCUGCCUGACCUGCUGAGUUCCUCCAGCACUUUGUGCUCCAGCAUCUCUGGUGUCUCCAAGGUCUCCCCGAAGGGUUUGGAGAUGUUUGGGAGGACAGUCCGCCCUGAUCCAACCCAGUGCUGGAAGGGGCACAGGUUGUCCGCAGCCCACCACACCUCGCAUUUUGUGGAGAUGUGUGCAUGGGUUGUCCUUUUUCAGUCAGACUGCACAGCCACGGUCUCACUUUGCUCAAACAAGUAUCCUCCUGCUGCAUUCCUGGAUCUUCAGUCGGACUUUGCAGCACAAGUAAGAGCUUUAACCACUUCAGCAGACAGGAACAAGUUACACAGACAAAGUUUCUUACUCGAGGCAUCUCGUGUUCAGUGGGUCUUAAACAUUCUUCCUCUCCAUCUGCAAAGAGCUACUUAGGGGCAACAUUCUUUACUCUUUUUGAUGAUUGUUUGAAGAUCCAAUCUAAGAUGAGAUAUCUUUAUUAGUCACGUGUACAUCGAAACACACAGUGAAAUGCAUCUUUUACAUAGAGUGUUCUGGGGCCAGCCCACAAGUGUCGCCACACUUCCGACGCCAACAUAGCAUGCCCACAGCUUCCUAAUCCGUACAUCUUUGGAACGUGGGAGGAAACCGGAGCACCAGGAGGAAACCCACACAGACAUGGGGAGAACGUACAAUCUCCUUACAGACAGUGGCCGGAAUAGAAACUUUUCCACAUCUGUUCAAUUCACUCACAUCAGAUAAGGUUAGAGUAACAUCAUAUAUUGAUUUACUAUAAAUGAUAAAACACAAUAGCCAACAGUUUAAUUUCUCCAGGCAGCUGCAUCUGUAGUCACAAUCUAGCAGUCAGUUUACUGUUUUGUGUACUGAGUUCACACACCAUUGUCCAG